GUGAGGAAUAUUGGUCAAUGGACGAAAGUCUGAACCAGCCAUGCCGCGUGAAGGAAUAAGGCCCUAUGGGUCGUAAACUUCUUUUGUAUGUGAGCAAUAAGGUCCACGAGUGGUCCGAUGAGAGUAGCAUACGAAUAAGCAUCGGCUAACUCCGUGCCAGCAGCCGCGGUAAUACGGAGGAUGCAAGCGUUAUCCGGAUUCAUUGGGUUUAAAGGGUGCGUAGGCGGCUUGGUAAGUCAGCGGUGAAAUUCCAGUGCUCAACAUUGGCCGUGCCGUUGAUACUGCUGGGCUUGAAUGCGGAUGCCGUGGGAGGAAUGUGUGGUGUAGCGGUGAAAUGCAUAGAUAUCACACAGAACACCGAUUGCGAAGGCAUCUCACGAAUCCGCAAUUGACGCUGAGGCACGAAAGUGUGGGGAUCAAACAGGAUUAGAAACCCCUGUAGUCC
rnacentral:rRNA from 1 species